AUAAACGCAAUGAUUGGGAGUAAUAAGGAAUCAUUAUUGUGCAGAGAGCUGUCAUUUGGUGCAAGACAGUCAAUAAUUUCCCCAACUCACCCAUGAGCGGUAAGACUGAAACGAUUAGGUCUUAACGGUUAACCCACGUCAUUGGGUUCUUAAAGUGUUCGUUAUUCCUUUACUGAACUAACGAAUCAAGAAGAGUGGUACCGCGAAGGUCAAACCUAUCGCCUCUUUG
rnacentral:ncRNA from 1 species